rnacentral:rRNA from 1 species
GUAUAGCAUAGCUACUUGCAUCAUUGUAAAUAUGAUGCAAGAUCGACUAUGUCGAAUAAAAUUCUAGGUAGAAUUAUGAUAAUGACAUUGUCUGCCUAUGUGUCUUGACCAAAUUACGUGCCAGCAGUCGCGGUAAUACGUAGAAGACUAGUGUUAUUCAUGUUUAAUCGGUUUAAAGGGUACCUAGACGGUAAAUCAAGCCUAAAAGGAAAUAAAUGAAGGGACUAAUUUACUAGAGUUACUUCUGAGGGGGUAUUAAAGUACUGCUGGUGUAGAGAUGAAAUUCUGUCAUACCUCUUUUCAAUAGAAAAAUAAUGGCACAGGUAUAGGCGAAAGCAUCCCCUUAUGUGAUAACUGACGUUGAGGGACGAAGGCUUUGUGUAGCGAACAGGAUUAGAUACCCCAGUAGUCAAAGCAGAAAAUGAUGAAUGUCAUAGAUUAGAUAUAUAAGUUUAUUCUAUAAAUGAAAGUGUAAGCAUUCCACCUCAAGAGUAAUUUGGCAACAUUGGAACUGAAAUCAUUAGACCGUUUCUGAAACCAGUAGUGAAGUAUGUUGUUUAAUUUGAUGAUCCGCAAAAAACCUUACCACAAUUUGAAUAUUUAUAUCUUUUAUUGUUUUUCUUUUUAACUUUCUUCUGAUUUUCUACUUAAAAGAAAACAAUAACAAGAAAAAAGAGGCAAUAAGAUAUAUUUACAAGCGUUGCACGGCUGUCUUCAGUUAAUGUCGCGAGACUCUGGUUAGUUCCAUUAAAUUAACGUAAACCCUUACUUUAUUUUUAUAUAGAGUAGUUCCCCGCUAUAUUGGAUAUGAUAACAGGGACUAAGACAAGUCAUCAUGGCCUAAAUAUUGUGGGCUAUA